AAAACUUUUAAAAUCCAUACAUAACAUUACAUAUUCAAACUCAAGUCUAUUAUUUUAUUGCUCAAAGAAAAAACGAUGUAUUAAAUUUGGGAUUAUGUCAUAUUAUUUUAAAUGUCUGCAAUUGACCCGCCAUCGAUAAAUCAAUUACUGGGCAUUCACUGGCGAUUAUCAGAGAUAUUAAUCUCUUCUUUUUUCGAUUUCAAGCACAGAUAUAUAGUGGAAAGUAGCAAAAAGGAUGCACCAGCGACUGUCAAAGUCGACUGCCUGUGCACAUAAUGAUUGAUGAAUGCAAUUAAAAGUGGGGAAAGUAAAAAACAAACGAUGAGUCCAGAUGAUCCGACUGCAAGAAAGUCUGAUAAACUAACUUGUCGCUGCCAAUUGGUUUUUACCCUAUUAACUAGACCUACAGCGAAGCUGUCCCGCCUAAGAAUUGUGUGAUGCUCAUGGGAACAUAACAAUGCAUUGCCAAUAUAUUCAUUUUAUCUUUAAUCCCAUUCCCGAAUCUACUACUAGCCAUAACAAAAGCAAAUUCAAUUUGGCUGCUCAUUGGCAAGAAUAACAGCAACAACAAAUGUGAUAAGCCUA